rnacentral:rRNA from 1 species
GAAUAAAUUAUUAGGUGCAAACGGUGGAUGCCUAGGCAUCAGGAGCCGAUGAAGGACGUAUGAGGCUGCGAAAAGCCUCGGGGAGCUGCCAACAGAGCUUUGAUCCGAGGAUUUCCGAAUGGGGAAACCCAAUGGGAGUAAUGUCCCAUUACUUCUGCCUGAAUAUAUAGGGCAGAUAGAGGGAACGUGGGGAAGUGAAACAUCUCAGUACCCACAGGAAGAGAAAACAAAAGUGAUUCCGUUAGUAGUGGCGAGCGAACGCGGAAAUAGGCUAAACCGAUAAUGUGUCAAGCCGGCAGGCGUUGCAUUAUCGGGGUCGUGGGACCAUGAAGAGUGGACUGCCGUUCAUUCAUUGAGUAAAAAAUCACUGCUAUAGAUGAAGGAUCUGGAAAGAUCCGGCAAAGAAGGUAACACCCCUGUAGUCGAAAUAUCAGUGACUCAAUUGUGUAAUCCCAAGUAGCACGGGGCCCGAGAAAUCCCGUGUGAAUCUGGCGGGACCACCCGCUAAGCCUGAAUACUCCCUGAUGACCGAUAGUGAACAAGUACCGUGAGGGAAAGGUGAAAAGAACCCCGAGAGGGGAGUGAAAUAGAUUCUGAAACCGUUUGCAUACAAGCCGUAGGAGCGAGAGCAAUCUUGUGACUGCGUGCCUUUUGAAGAAUGAACCUGCGAGUUAGUGUUAUGUGGCGAGGUUAACCCGUGAGGGGCAACCGUAGCGAAAGCGAGUCUGAAUAGGGCGAAUUAGUCGCAUGAUCUAGACCCGAAGCGAGGUGAUCUACGCAUGGUCAGGUUGAAGCGCGGGUAAGACCGCGUGGAGGACCGAACCCACUAAUGUUGAAAAAUUAG